UGGGGAAUUUUGCGCAAUGGGCGAAAGCCUGACGCAGCAACGCCGCGUGGGUGAUGAAGGUCUUCGGAUUGUAAAACCCUGUCGCCAGGGACGAAGGGUGGGGCGUUAAUAGCGCUUUACUUUGACGGUACCUGGAGAGGAAGCCCCGGCUAACUCUGUGCCAGCAGCCGCGGUAAUACGGGGGGGGCAAGCGUUGUUCGGAAUUACUGGGCGUAAAGGGCUCGUAGGUGGCCAACUAAGUCAGACGUGAAAUCCCUCGGCUUAACCGGGGAACUGCGUCUGAUACUGGAUGGCUUGAGUUUGGGAGAGGGACGCGGAAUUCCAGGUGUAGCGGUGAAAUGCGUAGAUAUCUGGAGGAACACCGGUGGCGAAGGCGGCGUCCUGGACCAACACUGACACUGAGGAGCGAAAGCCAGGGGAGCAAAC
rnacentral:rRNA from 1 species